rnacentral:lncRNA from 1 species
GCUUCUGAGUCUGCGCAGAAGGAUCAUCCGUGAUGAUUGACUCCGGAUCACGCCUCCUCUUCCAGGCAGCUUUCCCAGACCCUCAGAAGUAAAACGGACUGAACAUCUAACGGUUUGAUUAUGCUUUUAAACAGGACCCGUUCAAACCGGCUCUGCAAUUUCAUCAUAGGGGAGGCUGAACCAGGAGGAGAAUUGAGAGUUCAAGGCCAGCCUAAACUACAGAGUGAAUUUCAGGCUAGUCUGGAUUACACAGUGAAUUUCUGUCUCAUCAAAACAGCACACUUAACGGAAUUACAAGACCCUGGGUGAAAUAUUCUAUGCUUUGACUAGAAGAGAAUCUGAGGUCUUUUUUGUCUUCCAGGUGCGGUGGAGCUGAGUUCCACGAGUCUGAGCUCGCAGGGGUCUUUGUUCCCGGUUCUAAGAGGCUUUGUUCUCAGUCUUCCGAGAUGAGUUCUCAAGGUUCUGUGGUUCUAAAUCUGAGCCUGCCUCUCCUCACUGGGCAAACGGGGCUAGCGCCCCCUCACGCGGCCAGCAUGUGUCACUACACCCGGCGUGUCGGCAACGUUUGAGAGAGCCCAUUUCUCAGACGGACCUUUGACUCCUAAAAAAGCUCAGAUCUGUAGGGGAGGAUGGGGCCGUAGAAUCGCGUCUCAGGGCCAAGAAGGAAGAGAUGGAAGCUUCGAUGCCCUGCUCCCUAACCACACCUGCCCAUGCUCGCAGACUGCCGCAGGCUGCCCUAUUUCUAUCCCUUCCCUACCUACUCAGAACUGUCUCCAGGGCUCAUCUGUGUGUCCAUGCAAUGGAAGCAGGGCCUGAGGUGUCAUGGUCACCACCGCAUACCCCAAAUCACUGAGUACAGUGACAGGAAUGGACAGGGGUGAAGGAGCACCCGCAGUGUGUCAAGAAGUCAUUGCAAUAGAAAACACUCAGGCUGGGAAUGCAGCUCAGCAGGCCCAGUGCUCGCCGUGAAAACAUGAGCAUCUGAGCUCAGGGUCCCGGGCUCCAUGCAACAGGCCAAAUGCAAUGGUUCCAUGAUAGGCCAGCAAGAUGGCUUUCAGUAGGAAGGUGAUCAUGCUGCUGAUGCCAAGGACCCGAGUUCUACUCCUGGUGCCCAUGUCCACUUGGCAUGCCACCGUAUACACCCUGCCUCAAAAUUAAAUAUAAUAAAAAGCAAGGUGGAGGGUAACAGAGGGAUGAUCAUGAUAGACAUUUUCAUUUUCUUCCAAGACAGGGUUUCUCUGUGUAGCCCUGGCUGUCCUGGAACUCACUCUGUAGACCAGGCUGGCCUUGAACUCAGAAAUCCACUUGCCUCUGCCUCCUGAGUUCUGGGAUUAAAGGUGUGUGCCACUACUGUCUGGCAUGAUAUAGACUUUUUGUCUCCGUGAGUGCACAUGCAGGCUGUACUAGGUGGCUCUCGGUGGUACAGGACUUGCCUGGUGUUUGUAAGGGCUUAGGCUCCAUCCCCAGAACCUUCAAAUGGAAGGACGAAAAGGAAGAAGGGAAGUUUUUGACAUUAUCACGGUACAAAAAAGAACUUGCUGCACAAAUACAGGACUGGUACUUGGAUCCCCAUGUAAAUGAUGUGCACAGAAGCCGGCCCAUAACUUCACACCUUGGAAAGCAAAGACAGGAUCCCUGGAGCAAGAUGGCUAGAUAGGCUCUGGACAUCCUGUCUAUGCCCAUGGGCUACAGAGAUGAUUCAGCGGACAAAGGCACGUGCCGCGCACGUGUGUGUGGAGCUCCGCACACUGUGGAGCUCAGACUACUUUCCAGAGCCGGUUUUCUCCUUUCAGUGUGGGCUCUGCGGGGAGAACUCGGGUUGCCAGCCUUGGUGGUGGUGGUAGCACCUUUACCUUUUGAGCUGUCUCUCCUUUCAGUGUUGAAAGAAGGGCUCAGCUAGGCGGCGGUGGCGCACACCUUUAGUCCCAGCCCUCGGAAGGCAGAGGCAGGUGGAGCUCUGAACUGGAGACCAGCCUGGUCUACAGAGUGAAUUCCAUCUAGGACCCUGAAAAACAGAGGGGGUGGGGAAGGGAGGGAGGGAGGAAAAAAGAAUGGUGGAUAUAUCCCAGGCUGGUCUUAAAAUAUAAUUUAAAAAUAAUGCAUGUAGUUAAAGAUG